AAGUUUGUGAAAGGUUCAGCUCCCAGCAUUUACCUAGAGGACAGGGUCGGGGGGCGCCUGGGGCCUGCCACGUGGACAGAGUCCAGCUUUGCACUCCUGGAAAGACAAAAGCCAAGGCCAUUUCCCCAGAAGAGUCUGGGGCGCCUACAGUCCAUACAUCCAGCCUGUGUCCUGGCCUCCUCCUCCGAGUUCCAGAACCGGACCGACUGCUGGGUGACCAGCUGGGGAGACCGUGAGCCAGAAGCCAGAGUCCAGAGGGAGGCCAGCCAGGCCCACCCUGCAGGCGUGUUGGGGUCGCGGGGGGGCUGUGUCAGAAAGGCCUCAGCUCUGCCACCUCCCCACAAUCUCCAGAAAGCACAGGUCUCUGUCUUAAACAACUUCAAACGUACCUCCCUGCUCCAAGCUCCAAUUCCUCGAUUACACCUUGGAUGAUAUGUUUUGUGCUGGCUCUAAGGAUAACAGCCGUGACGCCUGUAGAAUGCAGAAGAGGCGUGCGCACUCCCGAGGGGAGGAUUUGCACCCCGUCUGCCCAGCUGCUCAGCCCCGCCCACCCUCCCGGCCUCCCUGCAACCCCUCCUGCCCUGCCCCGGGCCGGGCUCACCCGCGCUGCUCCCCAGGGCGACUCGGGCGGACCCCUGGUCUGGGAGAGGAACGGGCCGCGGAAUCAGGUUGGAAUCGUGAGCUGGGGAGUGGGCUGCAGCAGGCCCAGCCGGCCCGGGCUCCACACCAACAUCAGCAGACACUUCAGCUGGAUCCGGACGCUGCUGGCGCGCAGCGGCCUUCCCAGGCCAGGGCCCUGCCCACUGCUGCGGCUCGCCCUGCUCUGUGCCCCCCAGUCCUGCAGCUGGCCAGAGCCCCACAGGGCCCCUGAGCACUGGCCCAGUGCCCCUCUGCCCCGUUUCGACUAAACCCUUUUGUGUGUUCAUAGAAAAAAAGUGUUGCGUGUUGACACCUUGCAGAGCAUUCUGUGGACCCAGGGGGCUCCCUGGGCACCCUCACAGUCACCCAUGUCCCCCCCGGGGCCCACCCCUAAGGCUCUUGGCCCCACCUGCACCGCACAGCAGACAGAACAGCCUGCUCUGGUUCGUUCACUCAGGAAGGUGAUGUGUGGAAGGGCGUUAGCAGCACCAGGAUCCUGGGGAGGAGGCAG